CCUUUCAUGUCUAAAAAAAGCCAAGGCUAGAAAAAAAAUAAAAAAAUAAAAAGGCAGCCUUUCUUGAGUAAAAAAAAGCCAAGGCUCGAAAAAAAAUAUUGAGCGAAAAAUAGAAAUGAUUCAAAAGAAUAAGUUGACAGAUGGUCGAAAAAUCUCAUGUUUGGGGUGUUGAGCUAUAAGAAAUCUGUAUGCAGUGAGUGAGAUGUGAAAGGUUUUGUGAUGGAUGUGCUAGUAUUUUAAGAAUGGUGGUAAGCUACUUAACCAAAUAUUAUCCCACCUCUACCAAAAGCCCCAUUACAUCCCAAUGAAUAAGACCUUUUGAUAUGUGCAUCAUAUUGACUUGGGAGUGAUGAAUUUUGCUUGAUUUUGGGAGAAAGAUCUUAUGUGCUUAAAAUAAAGAAUAGCUAGAAGAACUUCUCUUUAUGAAUUAGUGACGAUGGUUUGAGACUCCCAAGACACAACUCGAACUUAGAUUGAAGCAUGGGAUGCCUAGUUCUUAGGGAAUUAGUUCGUGUACAAUUCUUGUUCUUAAGUUUUACCCGCGAGUGAAUUCGGGGUCGGCCUAAUUUCCCUACCGAUUCAUAUGGUUUGGCGUGACUUGAAGCAGAGGAUUAUCUAAUAUCUUUAUACAAUGGAAUGGAGGGUAGCGUAUUACUGCUCCUAGCCAAUUUUGGCCACUUCGAUAUUAAGUGUCUCUCAGUUCAUACUAAAGCCGUCAAUGAAGAACUACUGCAAAAUCUUUCUGAUGCUCUACGCUUGUCGGUACCUGAUAAAAUUGGAGUUGAUCUUGCUUUGUCUAAAACUGACGAUCACGAUAUUAGGAUGUGUGGAAAGAAUUUUUCUUUGAGUCAGAUUAAAGAGCUGUGUUCCAAUCUAUUGCAUUUGAGGCGACUGAGAUGAUUCAAAAUAUGCUCGUGUUACACUUAGUUGAUCUAACGGCCUCUCUAAGCAUUCUGAUUCAUUCUUGCAAAUGUUAGCUCUUGUGCAACUAAGGUGCUUUCCGUGAUAGUUCCUCGUGCAAAAAUAGACUAGAAUUUCUUAGUCAAUCUGAAGGCCAAGGCCCAACUACGUGGAGAUCGCUUCUUCAGCGUUGUUUAAAACGCGCCGCGCAGGUGGAAGAGCAAGAUCUGGGGACGGCGGCCCGGUGGGGGCAAGGCGUAUGGCGGUAGGGGGAGACUUAGUUCUUAACUUAUAAGAAGCCGGGGGAAAUGGCUCUUUCCCAAGUACUUCCUAGAUAUGUUUCUUUUUUACAUUGGCAUUCGGUUUGCUGUACCUGCAUUAAAAAAGAAAUCGUGGGCCUUGGAAGCUGGAUGAACACUCAAUUAGUGUCUAGUAAAGAUGCUUUGUAUGAGGUUGUGUGUAAGGCUGCGUAGCACGUAGAACUCAGUCCCGUGUUGAGAGCGCUACUUCAGUGUUGAUAAGUUCUAGAAAUGUCCCCUGUUCUUCUUCAGUGAGGUUCUCGCUUCCUGUAUAGGGGUGUGAUCCUGGCACCACCCCUUGCUUUCUACCCAAACAAGAAUCACUAACAGAGUUGACACCGAUGAAUGGAAUCCAUCCACUGAUACGCAUCUUCCUUGAUUGAUAACCGCUCUGCAAAUGUUGUGAUGCACUCGAAAUUUUAAAUAUCAUUUCCAGCUUUUUUGUUUGUCUACGACAGUUAGAUCAUCUAUCGAGGGACCGAAUUUGCUUUAGAUUGCAAACUUGAGUUUGCUCAUACUGCUCAUCGAAAUUCUGCUGCUGUUCAUUCCUGGUUGAGUGUAAGGCUGCGUAGCAAGUAGAAGUCAGUCUCGUGUUGAGAGCGCUACUUCAGUGUUGAUAAGUUCUAGAGAUGUCCCCUGAUCUUCAACAGUGAGGUGUUAUAGCUGUAACCAUUACUCGUAGGAUUUUUAUGCUAGAGCACUUUGAGCACAAAAUUUUGCAGGAACUAGCCCGGAGUUGCCCUGGUUCUCACUUCCGGUAUAGGGGUGUGAUCCUUACACCACCUCUUAAUUGCUUUCUACUCAAACAAUCCAAACCAGUGAUGGGGAAUAGAUCAACAACUUUCUAUUAGGAGAUAGCAUAGAGACAGUGUUGUGCCACUUUUUUUAUGCUAGCAUUUAUGUGCAAGGUCAAGUGAGCCUUUUGUCCUAAGCUAGGCCACCUGUCACAUUCACAAAAUGAGUUUAUGAGGUGAUUCCGGACAAAUUCUAGGACAUCUAAGUUGAUUCAGGAAAGAAUCGAUCCAUCCAGAGCUCAAAUGCAUUUCCAGUUUGCCCUCUGCUUCGUCAGUGGGUGGAUUUUCCUGGAAAUUUGCAUCUCUACUUCUGACCAAGUGAGUGUUAGCACUGGAAUUGGUGCUAUUCCCCACACACCUGAAAUUGGCUCUGACGAGAUGGAUCCUGUUGGAUCCCAGAUUCGUACAAGCUACUGAUGGACACUAAUGCAAAUCUGUCUUCCGAGCAUCCCGGGACAAAUGUCUCUGCGCCAUUUAUAACCUUUGGUGAUGCAUUGCACAUGUACCAUACUAUCUCAGAGAAGAUAUAUAUACUAUGCGCCUUAACUCUUAAAUAUCAAUUCCUUAUAUCUCGUGCCCAAAAAAUUGCCUCGCUCAUGGUUGGACGGAGUGAGUACAAAAUAACAAACUAUAGCUAUAUAUUUAUUUUACUAUUAUCUUAGUUGGUAAUUGGUAUCCUCCAAUAUGUUGAUGUCAACUUAUUAUGUUGUUUUCCUUUUUUAAGACAUGGUGGAUUAAGCAUAAAACUUUUACUGACUUUUCCAACUCUUAAUUUGAUCAUGCGUUUUACCUAGACUUCAAUUGUAGAAUCCACAUCCAACAAGGUAUGAAUGUUAUUUAUUGAGCUAAUUACAUGUGUAAAGCUACAUUGCUUUGCAUCAUGGACAUUAGAUUGCUAUGUAGGUAAAUUACUGCUUCUAUACUGUUUGCAAAGAACCGAGCUUAAGCAGAUUGUUCUUGAGUUACUCAAAAUAUGCACUGAUUCUCAGGAUAAUAUUUCCGAUGAUGACUAUAUAAUUUCAAAAGCUGGGCUCGGUCUAGAAGUGGGAAUGAUGUCAAUCCUACAUGAUAAUGAAGCACAAGUCUGAAUAGCAGCUGCCGAAAAGGAGUUAAGGAGGAGCUAACUUCUAAAGGAGGCAAGAUGAGGGAAGAAAUACCUAACCCCCAUCACCUAACUUCCCAUGCAAACAAGGGAGUAUUUUGUUUCCCCUCACAUUUUUUUCCUUCACAUAAAGGGCAAUGUUAAGAUUAAGAUUUGGGGUGAGGGUGUUUGUGUGCAUGCUUGAUUAUGUGGUUGUAAAUAAUUUUAUUACUCUAUCUCCGAUUCUGAAGGACCCUUUUUCUAUAACGAUGCGAAUACUAAAGAAGUUAUGUGUUUUAAAUAGCAGGACUAUGCCAUGGAGCCCGAUGAGAAACUUAUGCGAAAUGCAGCACAUUAGAUGGUAGCAAGGAACCUUUACGUGGUUCAGUAUCAAGCCAACUCAGAAGGUCACUUCAGGGCUUGGCCAUAGCAAAGGAUCUUCUGGAGCAGUCAUUUUAGCGGGUGACUAAUGGAAUCACAGGCAGCGAUGAUACCGAUGAAUGGAAUCCAUCCACUGAUACACAUCUUCCUCGAUCGAUAGCCGCUCUGGAAAUGUUGAGUGCAAGGCUGCGUUGCAAGCAGAACUCGGUCUGUUGUUGAGAGCGCUAUUUCAGUAUUGAUCAUGUUCCAGAGAUGUCCCCUGAUCUUCAACAAUGAGUUGUUAUAGUUGUAACCACUAAACGUUCUCGCUUCUGUUAUAGGGGUGUGAUCCUGGCGCCAUCCCUUACUUGCUUUCUUACUCAAACAAUCCAAACCAUUUAUGGGGAAAUAGAUCGAUUACUUUCUAUUAGAAGAAAGCAUAGAGACAGUGUUGUGCCACUUUUUUUAAUGCUAGCCUUUAUGCUCGAGGUCAAACGGAAGCCCUUUAUCCUAAGCCAAGGCACAUGUCACAUUCACAACAACGAGUUUAUGAGAAUCGAUCCACCCAGAGCUUCAAAUGCAUUUCCAGUUCGCCCCUCGGCUUCAUCAGGAGCUGGAUUAUCCAGGCAAUUUGCAUCUCCACUUCUGACCAAAUGAGUGCUAGCAUUUACUCAUCUGGCCUUGUUAGCACUUGAAUUGGUGCUAUGCCCCAUACACCGGAAAUUGGCUCUGACGAGAUAGAACCUGUUGGAUC